CCUACGGGUGGCAGCAGUGAGGAAUAUUGCUCAAUGGACGAAAGUCUGACCCAGCCAAGUAGCGUGAAGGAUGACUGCCCUCUGGGUUGUAAACUUCUUUUAUAUGGGAAUAAACCCGUGUAUGCAUACCCUCUUUUAUGUACCAUCUGAAUAAGGCUCGGCUAACUCCGUGCCAGCAGCCGCGGUAAUACGGAGGAUCCGAGCGUUAUCCGGAUUUAGUGGGUUUAAAGGGAGCGUAGGUGGUUUGUUAAGUCAGUUGUGAAAGUUUGCGGCUCAACCGUAAAAUUGCAGUUGAGACUGGCAGUCUUGAGUACAGGAGAGGUGGGCGGAAUUCGUGGUGUAGCGGUGAAAUGCUUAGAUAUCACGAAGAACUCCGAUAGCGAAGGCAGCUCACUGGACGGCAACUGACACUGAUGCGCGAAAGUGUGGGUAUCAAACAGGAUUAGAUACCCGGGUAGUC
rnacentral:rRNA from 1 species